GCAGAGCACUCCUACGGGAGGCAGCAGUAGGGAAUUUUCCGCAAUGGACGAAAGUCUGACGGAGCAAUGCCGCGUGAGUGAUGAAGGUUUUCGAAUCGUAAAGCUCUGUUGUAAGGGAAGAAUAGCAAGGAUAGGAAAUGAUCCCUUGUCUGACGGUACCUUACCAGAAAGCCACGGCUAACUACGUGCCAGCAGCCGCGGUAAUACGUAGGUGGCAAGCGUUAUCCGGAAUUAUUGGGCGUAAAGCGCAUGUAGGCGGCUUUUUAAGUCUGGUGUGAAAGCCUGUGGCUCAACCACAGAAUUGCAUUGGAUACUGGAAAGCUAGAAUCUUGGAGAGGUAAGUGGAAUUUCAUGUGUAGCGGUGGAAUGCGUAGAUAUAUGAAGGAACACCAAUGGCGAAGGCAGCUUACUGGACAAGUAUUGACGCUGAGAUGCGAAAGUGUGGGUAGCAAACAGGAUUAGAUACCCUGGUAG
rnacentral:rRNA from 1 species